CAACCCAGUCAUAGUGGAAUGGAACUAUGAAACUAGCCAAAGGCACAUAAAGCCUUUAGUCAAGACUCUUGGUUGCAAGUAACAGAAAGCCAACUAAAGACAAUGUAAGAAGAGAAAAAGGAGUUUAUUAGUUCAUGGCAUUGAAAAAAGUCCAGGGGUUUCUAACUUUGAGGACAGCUGCAACAGGGAACUUAAAUAAUUUCAUCAGGAUUGUUUCUUUCUCCAUCUCUAGACUCUGCUUUCUUCUGUGUUGACCUAAUUCCUAGGCAGAUUCUUAUGUCAUGGCCAAGAUGUCUGCCAGAAGAUCCAGGUUUAUAUUCUAACCAUACGAAUAACCCCAGAGGAAAGAAAAUUCUACUUUUCUAAGGAUGGCAGCCAGAUGCCAGGAUUGGCUCUUGUCAGCUCAGCUUGGAGUUUGUGCUUAUUUUCUGUGGACAUUCAUCACGGUUUUGGGCAACUUAGUGUUCUCAAAUACCUUCCUAUUUAGGGGGCAGGGGGAUGCUUACCUAUCCAAGGGAACAGCUGGACACUGUCUGUCCAGGCCUCCCUUGCAGCCAAGAUACAGUCAUGUGACAGACUCUGCCAGUAAGACCCACAUGUGGCUUCAAUCUGGAAAAGAGCCAUGCGAGGAAGCAGGCAGCAUGGAAGAUCCAUUUUUCAGUGACCAGUGACGGCAUCUGACUUUAGGGAAAACAACUGCUGAGCCUCUGAUGUUUGCUCCUCAACAUCAACAGCUUUCACUCCGGGUUCUGAUCCAGUGGAAGCAGCAGUUAGGCUUUGCUGGAACAAUCUUGAGGUUGGAAAUCUCACUCUGGUCCAUCCGAGAGCUUUACUAAAUCACUUUUUGCUCUCUGCUUGCUAGAGUGACUAACUACGACUCUGGACAGAUCUGCCAUCCCUGAAUUAGUCACCAUGGCCAUGUCUUGCUCAUUUUCCCAGCCCUGAAAUUACUGCAGAGUCAGUCUUGCUGAAACCAUGCAGCUGAGAAGUAGGGGAAGGGUGAUGCCCUGAAGGAAAAUUGAGAUGCUCAAGGGGGGAUCAAUGCUGAGCAUGUAAAAGCAACAGAUGUCCACUUCUCCCUUUCUUUUAAGGACUCUCAUCAGCCUCCUGUGACCCUAAUGGGCUGGCACACUCCUUAAUCUACAGUGUGCUUCUAAUAGAUCUUCUUUCAAAACUUAAAUUAUCCCUCCUUAGCAUCUCCUCCAGGGACUUUGGGCUCCUUCUCUAACUGGAGGUAGAAAGAAGUUUACUGCACAGCACAGUCUGAGGACAGAGGAUGUGCAUGCCAUUAAGUUUCUUUGCUAUCUCCCUCCAAGAGUUGGCUGCUGUUUGCACAUAAUAGUAAGAUGGAAGGAUUAUUAGGGAAAUUUGGUCACCCUAGCUGUGGCAUAGUGCAAAGAAACAUGGGAGAGAAGAAAGAAACUUGGGGUAAGCCACAGUUCUGCUGAUCUCUAACUAUUUAAGAAGGACGUUGCUCAUUCUGGAACCUUCAUUUCCGACCUAUGAAUGUGCUACACUGGGUAACUCAGUUCCAGGUUAGCUGUAAUGGAUCAAGGAAUCCUAAAGGGGAAUUAAAGGGCUCAGAAGCAAAACUAUUGGUACUCUAGUGACAUCUGGUGGUUAUCCUGAAUUUAAAACCUCUGACUAUUUUUUUGAUGUCUGAUUUUGUUUCAUUGCGUUCUAUCAAGAAUAUUGAUUAUGCUAUAGAAUGGCCAAGACUUGUUGGCUUCUUUUAUUUGUGCUGUGUUUUUCUAUCCACUAGACUCUGUCCCUGGGCAAUAAGCUUUCAGUGGAAAUUAAUCGGUUUGACUUUUUUCUAGAAUUUUAUACCUUAUGAGUUAGUGGUUUACCAUAACCUAAGAGGUCAUCUUUUUUUUUUUUUUCUUGAGACGUGGUGUCAUUCUGUCACCCAGGCUGGAGUGCAGUGGUGCAAUCUUGGCUUGGCUCACUGCAGCCUUGACCUGCUAGGCUUGGAUGAUCCUCCUACCUCAACCUCCAGAGUAGCUGGGACUACAGACAUGCACCACCAUACCUGGCUGAUUUUUUUGCUUUUUUUUUUUUUUUAUAGAGGUGGGAUUUCACCAUAUUGCCCAGGCUGGUCUUGAACUCCUGGACUUGAGCAAUCCACUUGCCUUGGCCUCAAAAAGUGCUGGGAUUACAGGCAUGAGCCACCAUGGUUGGCAUAGGAGGUCAUACCUUUAUUAGUUGUAGCUAAAAAGACUUCCAGAUGCAUUAACUUCUUUUGCUUUCCUUUAGAACUCUAUGAACAAGAAUGCAACGGAGAGACUGUGGUCUACUGGGAAGUGAAGUACCCUUUUCCCAUGUCCAACAGAGAUUAUGUCUACCUUCGGCAGCGGCGAGACCUGGACAUGGAAGGGCGGAAGAUCCAUGUGGUCCUGGCCCGAAGCACCUCCAUGCCUCAGCUUGGCGAGAGGUCUGGGGUGAUCCGGGUGAAGCAAUACAAGCAGAGCCUGGCGAUCGAGAGUGACGGCAAGAAGGGGAGCAAAGUUUUCAUGUAUUACUUUGAUAACCCGGGUGGCCAAAUUCCGUCCUGGCUCAUUAACUGGGCCGCCAAGAAUGGAGUUCCUAACUUCUUGAAAGACAUGGCAAGAGCCUGUCAGAACUACCUCAAGAAAACCUAAGAAAGAGAAUUGGGAACAUUGUAUCCAUGGGAUGAUGUCUCUAGAAGUGCAACCACCCAAUGUCUCUGAAAGUGCCACCACCCACCGCUGCUCAGCCUUCCCCUGCUGUUUCUGUCUUCAGAGGCCUACACACUCUACCACAGCCUUUCUAAGCAUGUUCGCCUGACAUCCAGCUCACUCGCCUGCUUCCUUUCUCACUCCCCCAUCCUGGGCUGGGCUGCCGCCUUCUACAAUUCAGUAUGGGGCAGACUAGGGAAACUUUUGCUUGCUUACUAUUAGGAGGGGAAGUCUUCAGCAGGGAACACGAUCAUUCCAUUGUGCAAUUUUAUGGGGAUGGGUGGGCGGAGGGACACAACAAAAUUUAAGAAUGACUAUUUGGGCAGGCUGGCUCUUUUGCAGCUUGUGAUUUAUUCCAUCUUGGGAGGGGCUGCUGGAAGUGGCAUUCUGUUCAGAGCUGACUUUCAGUGCACCCAAACUGGACGACGUGUGCCAAUGGCCAUUUGCCUUAUGCUUUGUGGAGCUGAUUAGGCUGGGAUUUGAGGUGAUAAUCCAGUAAGUCUUUCCUCAUUCCUACUUGUGGAGGAUCAGUAGCUGUUAUGAUGCCAGAUCAUUUGGAGAAGUAUCACAGGCCUGACCGGAUGCAUAAUAUGACAAUCACAUUUUUCCUCCUCAUCCAUGUCUGUUUUUUUCUCUUUUCCGUAUGUCACUGGGGAACGGCUGCCUGUACCUCUCAAGCUUUGCAUUUUACUGGAAACUGAGGCAUCAAGAUGGCUGUGGCAGCUAGCAAAAGCAAAGAUGCUUUGUGUAUAGCCUUGUGAAAAAGUAUCUUUCUAUGCAAUAAGAUGAAUUUUCCUCCCAGAAUAUUUAGAAAUGUAGAAGGGAUAACAGUUCACAGCCAGGUAAAAUUUAACUGGUGGCUUAAUGACUCUGCACCUUUUUCUCAGGAAUUCUGCCUAAGUUGUCUGCCUUUUCUGCCACCGAAAAGACUUUUAGUUUUCUAUGGUUUCUCCUGAAUUUUGGUAGGCUAAGGUAUUUCUAUGUCAAAGGCACAGCCUUGAUGAUCUCAGGGAAAAAUUUUAAUCACUGUGUAUAAUGAUACUGAACCUUGAUUAAUAACAGAAAUUCAGGAUGUAAAGCCAUAGAAUGGGAUUUAUUAAUGUGGGAUACCUCAGACUGUUUGUUUUCUUUCUGGGAAGAAAAGUGUGUUCUAUAAUGAAUAAAUAUAGAGUAGUUUUUACUUGUCCUGUGUA
rnacentral:sRNA from 1 species